AUCCCAUAUUGUGGACAUUUUCUUAACAACUCCUUGUACCUUUCCCAUGUAUCAUACAAGAUCUUUGAAACCAUCUGCUUGAAGAAGGAAAUAUCACUUCUCAACUU